UGGACCCACAUAUAAUCAUUUAGAUUUUAAAGAGGAGCAAAAUAGUUCUACAACAACAAAUAAUCUUAUUACUUCAAAGUUUUUUAAUACCAUACAGUAAGUUAUUACUGAUACAGACCGAAUUGACAAUUUGAUAUCCAAAGAGAAAGCAGGCCGCGGUGGCCUGGUGGUAAGGUCUUGUCUUCGGGAUCCAAGGAUUUCAGGUUGGAGACCCGAUUCCACCGAAGAACCGUCGUGUAAGCGGGCCUGGUGCACAAUAAAUUCGUCGGGGCUAGAUGUCCUCCCGUUGGUGUGGUGUGGAAGUUUGGGGAGGAGAUUCUAGUUCAGGUGUCAUUCUCGUCAUCUGACAGCGGUUCAAAAUUACAAGGUUCUGUGAUGAAAAUUCAAGAAAGAAAAAAAAACGAGUAUUUACAAAUGGUUAAUCAAAAAGGAUCAUUGCAAUGAAGAUGCUCAUCUGCAAACCGCCGCCCCAUGCUCCUGCGCAUUGUAGCCAUUAAGACUACUUUGCAGUUGGAUGAACAUAAAGCUCUCAGCAGCUACAGAUUGUUUUUACCACGGCUCCAAACUCUUAAGGAACCUUACAUUAUCUAGAAUUUUCUUCAAUGAUGAAACUUUUUGUAUUGUUAUCUUCGUCGCACAUACUCUACAGAUUUUUGACUUCGCCAGGCGCACUUCAGUAGUCUCGUAACUGCUAUAUGCACAGUGAAUAACCGAUAAACAGUUUCACCAACUUGGAA